rnacentral:rRNA from 1 species
CCUACGGGUGGCAGCAGUGAGGAAUAUUGGUCAAUGGUCGGGAGACUGAACCAGCCAAGCCGCGUGAGGGAUGAAGGUACAGAGUAUCGUAAACCUCUUUUGUCAGGGAACAAAUGCGGGGACGUGUCCACGGAUGAGUGUAUCUGAAGAAAAAGCAUCGGCUAACUCCGUGCCAGCAGCUGCGGUAAUACGGAGGGUGCGAGCGUUAUCCGGAUGUAUUGGGUUUAAGGGGUGCGCAGGCGGUCUGUUAAGUCAGCGGUCAAAGACCGGGGCUCAACCCCGGCCCGCCGUUGAAACUGGCAGUCUCGAGUUGGAGAGAGGUAUGCGGAAUGCGCGGUGUAGCGGUGAAAUGCGUAGAUA